GUUGCUCCAGCUCAGGCUUCUCCCCACCGAGGCUGCCUUUCAGCGUUUCUUCAUUCUGAAGUGAAAGAGAUUUUGGUUUUGUGGGUUCUGGUGUGAAGAAUAAUAAGAACCUUUGAAAAGCAAGAACCACUUCGAGAAUCUCUCCUGGAAGCAGAUUCCGGGAUGGAAAGCCGGCUGGUCUGCUCUUUGCUCCAUGUCACUCGCCGGCCCUUCCCUGCACAUCACAUCUUCUCCUGCUCUUCACCGAUGCACCUGAACAGGCCAUCACCUGGAUUCCUUCGGAAAAUGAGGCAACCUCUUUUUAUGUAUGUAUGUAUGUAUGUAUGUAUGUAUGUAUGUAUGUAUUGGCAGCCCCUUUUAAAAAUGGCAGGCACACAUUUGGAGGUUAAAGGGGCGGUCAGUCAUUUAUUCUCCACGCACUGCUGUGAACCAGCUCAUUCAGAUUUUUCCUGUCUCCAGUCCAGACCAGCUGCACUGGGUGGGGGAUUUUGAAAAGGAAAGGAGAGAAGAGGAAUGUUUUAGAACAUUCUGUUGACCGAAGCCCUUUGGAGAAGAAGGGCAGGCUCAAGGAGACAGUCCUGAGUGGUUCUGAGGCUUUCUGGAAAUGGGAAGUGAUUAGAGAAAGAUAGGAUGCUUCCUACAUGCAAACUUUUACUUCUUCAAAAUUUCCCCAGGGUCUCUUUGACCUAUAAUUUAAAGUUUCCCAGCUAGCAUUGUUAGUAAUUAGUUUAAUGUUUUUACCAGUUAAAUGGUUUUUUAUAGGCUGGAUGAAUAUUCUAAACACUAUAAUUUUUGGUUUUGGGGGAAGUAACUUCUUAAAAAACUGCAAACAUUGCAACAUUAUUUUAACAAAGACUUGCAAGCCUGUAGCUCUGAAUAAGUUCUCAAAAGUAAGGAACACGUCACAAGAUACCUUCCUCUCAUUCCCAAACCAAGAAAUGUGAAGGAAAUAAUUGUAUUAGAACAUUAAAAGAAGACAAAAAACUGCACUUGAAAAAUAACUAAAUAAAAUUAAAAAAAAAAAAAAAGAAGUUCCCCAUAUGCUGCGAAUUUUCUUGACACUCACCCAGACUGUGACAAAGUGGGCAGCUGGUCCGUCUGCCCACCUUCACCUAAUCUGCUCCUCAUUGUCUUCCCCGAGCUACCUCUCUAAUACACAGGCGGCCUCCCUGGCAACGACCGUCAGCCAAAGCCUUCGGCAGCAGCCUGUCUCUCUGGUUGGCCUUCCUAGCUUUCGGAAACCACUCCCAGAAGAGCCUGUGCUCCUUCAGGCAACUGAGACUUCACACCCUUCCCCUUCCUGGAAGGAAUGUCCUCCUUUGCCUUAUCCACUUCUCACAGUUGUAUUUAUUCUUUCAGGUUAAGUUCAAAUGUCACCUCCUGAAAGCAUCACAAAUGUAGUAGUUAUGCACCGCCCUGUAUUUUUUUAAAGAAGGUUUUAUUCAUUUGUCUUUAGAGGGGAAGGGAAGGAGAGAGGGAGAAAUAUCAAUGUAUGGUUGCCUCUCGUGUGUCCCCCACUAGGAACUGGCCUGCAACCUAGGCAUGUGCCCUGACUGGGAAUUGAACUGCGAUCCCUUAGUUUGCAGGCCUGCACUCAAUCCACUGAGCAACACCAGCCAGGGCUUUGUACUGCCUUUUAAUAUGUUAUAUUCCUUCUUCUGAGGUAUGUCAUUUGCUUUAUAAUAUAAUUUUUGGAAAUACGUCGUUUUCCCCAUGAAACAUGUAAGUUUCCUGAGUUUAGGCCCCAUGUUAGAAUUAUUUCCAUAUGACCCAGAGCCCUGCUCUGUUAUAUAUUAAAUUGAGCUGAAUAAGCUACCUGAAAUGGGCCUGUGAAACAUUUCAGUCACGUCAACCUUUUACUGGUCAAAGAGCAAAGCCAACAGCGGUCUUACUACUAUUUUCUCUUCUUAGCUCCCACAGUAAAAAUACGUUAUCAUAGAUUAAUAUAAUCACACCCUUGUGCCUCUGAAUUUUGGAUUUUCUCUUAGCUUAAGAGAUUCGUAUCCACCUUAAUGAGUUCACCUUUAUCCCAAGUCCUUAUGGCCAAUGAAUAUAGCUUCUAGGCCAAUGUGACUGAAGUCCUUGUCCCACCUGCAUUCUUGCCACCAAACAUGUAAGUUAAAAGUUCGGGUUCCUGGACCCUACCCCAGACCUUCUGAAUCAGGAUCUCUGAUGACGGGGUCUGAGGGUCUGCCUUCUCUCUAAGCUUCUCAGGACUGCAGGACCGAGGAGAGUUUGAAAAACUUCAUCCUAGAAAUUCUUCAGAGAGCUUGGUUAGGGGCUGCCUCAAGAAUUUGGUGGAUUCUCCGAAUCUCUUAUUAGCUCUAAGAAUGACUAGACCUCAAACAUCAUAGAAGGCGAACACAGUAAUAUACUCAGAGUUCACAUAGUUCUCCUCUUUCGAACUAGGAAGAUAAAUGAAAGCUUGUGGGAUUCAAAGGAACAGAAAGCAGGGAAUGGCACCUGGCCCUAAGCUGUGGUUGUCCGGCCAAGACGUACACAGGUGAGAUUAGGAAAAGCUAUUCAAUCUAAGACCCGAAUCUGACCUUGCUUCAGCUCCUUUUCAUCUUUUACACAGAAAUUCUAUCUAUAAACACUGGACUAAAUGGGAGAUGAAAAUUACUAAGAAUCUGCUCAGGGUCAGGCACCACGCUCCGUGACACUCUGUGCUUCCGACACGCUUUUCCUUUAAUAAACCACCUGUGGGUUCACUUUUUAAAAUCCUAUUUUGCAGAAGAGGAAAUUUAGAAUUGGAGGGAUUAAGCAAACAGCUAAUUAAGUAGAUUAAGUAAGUAAUCAAGAAGAUGGGUUAAGUUAGAUAAGUAAACUGCAGUUAAGUAAAUGGCUACUUUCAAAUCCCAGCGUCACCAUUUACUAGUUGUGUGGCCCUUGGGGAAACUCACUUAACUUCUCAGAGUCUCAACAGUGCCAGGGACAAAACAAGGGACACUCAUCAUCUUCCUCACACGAUGCUGAGGACUUGUGGUAAAAUCAGGUCGCGGCAGCACACUGCACGAUGCCCGGCCCUCAGUUGGUGCUGGGGCAGCCAUUCCUUCAUCCCUCCGCUUCCUUCCAACGUGGCUUUUUCUGUUUUUGUAAAUUUUUAUGGAGGAGCCUGUUUGCUCACGGCCAGUAGGUCCUCCUUCAUCCUGAGGGUUCUUUCAGGAAACAGGCAUUCUCAUCAGCCCCUGGCUCCUUUCUCGCUCUGCAGAGGCUGUGAGGCGAGCAGCCCCUGUGAGUCACGCUCUCAGCUUCCAGCUGGACAGGAAGCACCACAGCACCGCUGCCAGCAACCAGAGCGAAUCUCCCUUUCCACCGCUGGGCUUCUCCAGGCCUGUGGGUGAGCCCAGGCCCAGGCCCAGGCCCACAGUCUCGGCAACAUUGUCGCAUUUAGUCUGCUAAGUCCCUACGAACCACACAACGAGGAUCACCCUGUGGGGAUUCGGAACACAUUUUAUGGAAAUGAGUUCUCUGACAAUGAUAAAAACGUAUCUUUAUUUUUGUUGCAGGUAGUAAGUGGUUUUCCUUCACAGCUUUUCUUUUUCACUCUGAGCAUUUAGUCUGGAGGACACAGAGAGGCGUUUAUCACAAUGUCAGGAUUCGCUCUCAGGGACUGAUUUUAUCUUUGAGUUCCAGGCCAAAUGCCAAAAAGAUGUCAGAAGUAUCACAUGGAGUCUGAUGCAUGUUCUGUCUUCGGCAGUGGCUACAUCACACAAGCAGCAAUGACUGUUCUUCAUGUUAGUCAACUUCCUUGUUCCCCACUUAAUAACCUAUCUGUUAGACAGGAUGAGGGUCUCCAGGUCUGGGCCAGUCUUAUAAAAUGCUAUUCUUGCUAAAUGUUAAGAUGCAACAUAGUAUUUUGCAGACCAGCUGUAAACAGGAUGAGCCUGACAAGAACUCAACCAGGUAAGUGCAGCCAAGUGCAAAGAAGAAAUCAACACGUAAUUGACUGAAUAGUAUAUAUAAGCAAUGGCUCAACCACCCUUCAGGGGAGACAGAGCUUUGCAUAUGAAUCCCUGUCUACUUGCUGCAAGUACAUAGCACUACCUUGCAACAACCACUUCUUUUUUGUUCUUGAAUGGAACACCCCAAAUGGCGAGCCCCUUUUGAGUUCAUUAACAAAUUUGUCAGCUCAGAUUGAACUCUCCUAAGUGACUCCUUCCGAGCCUGGUGUGGAUGCUUGGCGAAGCAGUCAGCAGGGGCAGCAGCUCGCCAAGGACUUACAUGCCAUGUCUCCACCGGACGGAGGGUUUGUUCUAUAGGAGACUCCCGUUUGGUACUGACCACUGGAAUGGCUACCUGGCUUGCCUCAACAGCAAAGCAGAGUGGCCACCUGAACCUGUUUUGUUCAGCACUUUGGAAGGGAGUCGGUAGGUCAGCCCCUGUGGUCACUUUAAUUAGUGUUUCUGGUCCUGUUUUAGGUCUAGGGUUGUUGGAAAGGCAGCUUCAGCUCUGGAGUGUGUUUGUUUCUGGUUGGUCAGACAGGAACUGUCUCCAGGAUGCUGGAUUCAGGGUCCAACCUAGGUCUCACUGUGGAGAGUUGAGGAGUGCCUGCAGGACAAAAAUCAGAUGUGCUCUCUUGAUGACCCCUGGUCUGGUUGUCUGACUUUGGUAUUCUUUGUGCAUUUGCCUUGUUUGUCUUACAUGGACAUGUGAAACUCAGAUUCACCCCUGAAUGCAGCUCCUUGGGGUGCAUCCUUCAGAACCGGAUAAAAAGAACUCUGUUUAUUUGACUUAAAUUAAAUGCUUGUAUAAAUUAGGAAAUAUAACAAAUGUGUCAAUGGUAGGAAACUGCCUGUCCUGUCCAAGGCAGCCUUGCUCCAGGCUGGGAGUCUACUGUGGGUUUGGGAGGCACUGAAUUCUAAGUACAGCUUCUUUGCUUCCUUGGGUUUCAGCCCUUACUGACCACACGUAAGCUUCUGCCCGACAACUCCCACCCCGAGUCCAUCUGAAGGGUGCACUUUCUGUGCAUCCGCAGCCAGAAUGGAAGCCGUGACGGGAAACUGGGAGGGCACCCAGCAGCUCCCUCAGCAGCAAGGACAUUCCCAUCAGACCGGCCGCACCAUCUUCACUGAGGAGAUGGGCAAGGCAGCAUGUGGCCUCCAGUGGAGGUGCUCGGGGACAAGCAAGACUGAGUGGCAAAGCUCUGGCUGUGGGACUUGGGGGCCAGCCUAUGGCUAACAGUGUAAAGAUAUGUGCUUGGGGUUACAGGGGAAGAAUUGCUGGUUUCAUCUAUAAGCUGUCUGAGUAAGAUUCCUACAGCUUCUCUCCCCGAAGGAUAAGGAAAAAGUUACCUGCCACACCUCUUCAAAGGGUCUCAUGGGCAGAAAGAAAUGUUCUAUUAGCAGGUGUGAUUUCAGAAAUUUUACCAAAGAUGUAGUAAUAGAGGCCAAAUAUCCUAGGAAUAUUGACAACUACAUAAAUCUAAGAUUGUCUGACUGGAUUGGUGCCAGAAAAGAGCAAAGUCUGCUAUAAUUUAAAAAUGUAGUUUGAGUCAGCUUCACUGGACUUGCAAAGUGAAACAGGUAGAAUCAACCACAUGUGUGUAUUUUGAGUAGCAAAAGCCAAAAGGGUGGACUUCCUAGUCACAUAAUGUGGGAAGAAGGUGGAAAUGACAUGGGAAAUGAUUUGUUUUCAGUAUGAGUGUACAGUGGUCUUAAGUAAUUUACUGGUUCCCUGUCCACUCACCUGCAAGGACAGUUUUGAGAUCACUGACUCUGGGCAGUGCACAGCCACGCACUCCCUUGACAGAGCCCAGUCAAGUCCACAAGAUGCCUCAGACCUCAGCUUCUUUUCUGAGCAGCAUCAUAAGCUCCCUCUCUCCUCCAGAGCUAUGUGUUGGCAGUGGGGUGGGACAGGUAGAGGUGAGAGAGGUUGCUCUUCGUGUCCACGAGCAAGACAGGGUGCCUCUAAGCUGUGUCCAUCUAUAGGGCAUGGCCCCCACUUGGCCUGGGCAUGGGCCCCUAUGGCUUUGGGAGCCUGCUGACUGGCAGUGGGAUGAGCUGACCUGGGCAUUUGCCCUGCUGUGGAUGCAGCAAGGUGGAGCAGCCCAGUGUUUUGUUGCAGCCAGAGGCAGCCAUGGAAGCUUAGGAACAGAACAGUGCACUGCUAAGGCGCGGGCUGGAAGGGAGACAGGUGCAGAGAGGCCGCACCACCCAGAACUUUCCUUUUUGCAGAUUGGGUCUGAAUUGUGGCAGGUGAGCCCAGCUGUUAAACCAGGCAUCCUGGCCCUGUACUCUGCCUCCCACAAUCCCACCUGCCUGGGACAGGGUGGGAAAGGCUUGGGGAAGCCUUCUCAACCCACCUCCUGUAGGAGUCUGGAAGCCAGAGGGUGGAGCCCCUCGUGGCAUCACUGACUCUCCUUGAUUCUCCUUCCUGUUUCAUUACAGCCUGCGCCUGCCGCUGUUUCAUUUUCAGUCUUGAGCUCCUAAUGUUUCCAAACUGGGGACAAGGGGUGGAGGAGCCAUAGUCUGUGAAAGAUGAGCCAUAGUCUGAGGUCUGCGGGUUACAUAGACCUCAGGUGAUCUGCUCAUCUUGAGGCCCAUCCCAGUGCCUGCUGGGCAGAAGGUUUGGGGGAUAAAGAGGUUGCAACAUAGUAUUUUGCAGACCAGCUAUAAACAGGAUGAGCCUGACAAGAACUCAACCAGGUAAGUGCAGCCAACUGCAAAGAAGAAAUCAACAGGUAAUUGACUAAAUAUGAGUGUCAAUGGCUAAACCACCCUUCAGGGAAGACAGAACUUUGCGUAUGAAUCCCCUGUCUCCUCUACUUGCAGCAGGUAAAUAAAACUAUUUUGCUACAACCAGGAACACUCCAAGCUGCGAACCUCUUGGGUUCAGUAAUAUGUAGACCAUGCCAACGUGAAUCUAGACCUUUUUUCUAACCUACUUACUAGCUUUCCAACCUUUCUUACUAGCUUUCUUACCUGUUUUGGACUUAUGAUUUCCUUGGUUUUACUCCCCACCUUGGGAAAUACUUUUGCAUUUAUUGGUUCUAAAUUGAUUUUUUAAUCUAGAAUUUGGGGAUUUAAUGCACAAAUCCUCACUCUUCCUACUCGUGUUGUUCACGACUGCCUGCGUGGAUUCUCUUCUGCUCACACUGCUUCUUACAGCCCUGGGCUUUAGAAGCAGAAGUCAGAGCAGCUUCUGUUUGCCACACUGAGGAAGUUCGGUAGCUCCGUUCCCACCCAGCUCCACCCCCACCUUGACUGUUAAGUAUUACAUGCGAAGCCCUUCAUUAAAUACACAAACAAAGUAACAGUAAGAAAAAAACAGAAGCCCAGAAAGAUGACUAUCAUACAGACUUUUGUCUACUUACACUACGUGUUCUGCUGGGGAUCUGCCUAGGCGCAGAGGGACCUAGCAGCUUGGCAGGAUGGGUUUGGAGUCUAAAUUAACAGCAGAAGGAAGAAACCAAAAGUCUGGUUGUCAGAGCUUCUUGGAUUCUAACUUAAGCCUUUGCUUCUACAUUGGCUGUUUUUACCAGUAUGUAAGAUAGAAGUAAAUAAUCAAUGUGACUUAUAGAAAUAUAUUUAUUUUGCUUAAUCCCUUCACCUUUGCCACCCAGUCCCCCUAACCCCUAUGUUCUGACAGCUGUCCAUCUGUUCUAUACAUCUAUGAGUCUGGUUUUUGUCUUUUUUUUUUUAGUUAAUUUUGUUCAUUAGGUUUCACAUAUAAGUGAAAUCAUAUGGUGAUUGUCUUUCUCUGACUGGCUUAUUUUACUCAGCAUUAAACUCUUCAAGUUCAUCCAUGCUGUUGCAAAAGUUAAGAUUUCCUUCUUUUUUUUCCCUUUACUUUUUUUAAAUCUUCACCUGAGGGCGUAUUUUUCUUUGCUUUAGAGAGAGAGGAAGGGAGAGAAACAUCUAAGUAAGAGAGAGAUAUUAAUUGGUUGCCUCCCGCACACGCUCGGACCAGGGAUCACAGGCACUGGACCAGAGAUCAAACACGCAGCCUAGUCAACUGCUCUGACCAGGAGUCCAACCUGCACUCUUUCGGCUCUGGGACGAAGAUCCAACCAAGUGAGCCACACCAGCAAGGGCAAGAUCUCCUUUUUCAUGGCUGAGUAGUAUUCUACUUUGUAAAGAACACAGGUUUUUUUAUCUAUUCAUCCACUGGCGGGCACUUGGGCUGCUUCCAAAUUUUGGCUAAUGUAAAUAAUGCUGCAACAAACAAGGGUGCAUAUAUUUUUUCAAACUAGGUUUCAGAGGGUUUUUUUUUAAUAUUCCCAGAAGUGUGGAAUUGCUGGGUCAUAAGGCAAUUCCUUUUUUAAUUUUUUGAGGUAGCUCCACACUGCUUUCCACAGUGGCUAUACCAAUCUGCAUUCUCACCAAAAGUGCAGAAGGGUUCCCUUUUGUCCACUUCCUCACCAGCACAUGUUGUUUAGUGAUUUAUUGAUGAUGGCCAUUCUGAUAGGUAUGGGGUGAUAUCUCAUUGUGGUUUUAAUUUGCAUCUCUCUCAUGAUUAGUGAUGAUGAGCAUCUUUUCAUGUCUAUAAGCCAUCUGUAUGUCUUCUUUGGAGAACUGUCUAUUCAGGUCUUUUGCCCACUUUUUAAAUUGGAUUGUUUGUUUUUCUGGUGUUGUAUUGCAAAGUUCUUUAUAAAUUUUGGAUAUUAACCCCUUAUUAAAGGUAUCACUGGCAAAUAUGUUCUCCCAUUCAGUGGGUUGUCUUUUCAUUUUUUUGAUGGUUUUCUUUGCUAUGCAAAACUUUUUAGAUUGAUGUAGUCCCAUUUAUUUAUUUUCUCUUUUGUUCCCCUUGCCUGAGGAGAUAUAUCAGAAAAAACGUUGCAAUGUAAAAUAUCUGAUAUUUUACUGCCUAUGUUUCCUUCUAGGAUUUUUAUGAUUUCAAGUUUAACAUUUAAGUCUUUAAUCCAUUUUGUAUUUCUUCUUCUAUGCAGUGUAAAAAGGUCAUCUAGUUUCAUUUUUUUGUAUAUACCUGUCCAAUUUUCCCAACACCAUUUGUUGACUAGACAGACUAUCUUUAUUUGAUUGUAUAUUCUUGCUUCUUUUGUUAAAUAAGAAUUGACCAUAAUGGUGUGGGUUUAUUUCUGGUCUCUGUUCUAUUCCAUUGAUCUGUGUUUCUGUUUUUGUGCAAGUCCCUUGCUGUUUCAUUACUAUGGCCUUGUAGUAUAGUUUCAUAUCAGGUAGAAUGAUUUCUCCAACUCUGUGUUUGGUGUUGAAUUUUAUCAGAUGCUUUUUCUGCAUCUAUUGAUAUGAUCACAAGAUUUUUCUCCUUCAUUUUUUUAUAUGGUCUGUCACAUUUCUUGAUUGGCAGGUAUUUUACCAACCUUGCAACCCAGGAAUAAAUUCCACUGACUUCUUUAAAUUCCAUAAACUCCUUUAGCUUUUUCCCCCUCUUGUCUGGGAAGCUCUAUAUUUCUCCUUCAAUUUUAAAUGAUAUCUUUGCUGGGUAAAUCUGUCUUGGCUGUAGGUCCUUGCUUUUGAUCACUUUAAAUAUUUCAUGCCACUCCCUUCUAGCCUGCUCAGUUUAAAAGCAACCCUUUUCUUUUUUAAUGUCACUUAAAUGAUUCCACAGACUUCAUGGAUGUCAAGUCUGGUGAAGCAUUUCAUUUACCCAUUUCCAAAAGUUGAUGGUUUUUUAAAUGAUUAAUCAAGGCUUAUAAAAUUGCAGACUGUUUCCUAACUCUGGAAGACACGGUGGUGCAAUUCUCUAACCAUGAGAGAUUCUGGAACAGCAAUGACAGUGUCCUAAUCUGCCCAGAAUAUAGCACAGCGAUAUCCAAACAAAUUACAGAAGAAUGCAGCUUUUUCUCUCUAAGAAAAGUCUGUUGGGAGCUCAUUCUCACUGUGUUUCUGCCUCCAGGAAGAAAAGUCUAAGAUUAGCUCGUGGCCUGACUCCUUGAUGGUCAGCGGAGUCCCCAUGGAGUCCUGUAUUCAGACACAUUAGGAAUUGAUAACGGAUGCAAACUGUUGCUCGAGUGCAUUUGAGCCCAUGUUCUCCUGGCCUCUGGUUUCAGAAACAUUCAUCCAGCCAGACAUUUAAUUUUCAAUGAAGCAGGGGACAGGGGACCUCUCUGGGGUAAAUAACAACAGAAAGAAUUUGUUGCAAACAGAGCUACACAGCAAGAAAUGCUAAAGGAAGUUUUUCCACCUGAAGUGAAAUGGCUAACUGAAAUAAAGAAAUAAAGAAGACUGCAAAUGGUGAAUAGGAUGGCUCCCCUAGGCGGCUCUUCUCUGGGUGUCCACAUGCAAGCUGUCCCACGUCUCGCCUUGCACCAGAAUUGUGUUUCCAGGAGCCUGCGCCUCUCGCUUGACUGCCGGUGAUUGCAUCUCACUGCUGCACCUCCCACGACUGCAGCUGCCGAGCACAGAGCAGUGCUUGGGGAAUAUGGGAGAGUGGAAGGGAGAAAAGAAACAUCAAUGAGAGAGAGAAGCACUGACUGGUUGUGCCCUGAUCAGGAACUGGACCUGCAACCUUUAGGUUACAGGAUGAUGCUCCAACCAGCCGAACCACACCGGAUGAUUUUAACCACCAAAGAAAGGACCCAGAAUCAGAAGAGCUGAACCACCAUGAGCCAUGCAGGGCCCUUUGAGGAUGCCUAAUAUUGAAAGUACAAGAUCAGCACACACUCAGGAGCAAGGGGGUUGCCACAUUUUGCAACUAGAAAAGUAAAUUUGUCUUUUUUAUGCUGGGCCACCUUCUGAGGGAAGGGGAUGAUAUCUCUGAGGCAGGACUGGAGUGUCAGUUCAAGAAAAACUCUCCCCCUCCAGCCUGAGCGCCCUGUCAAGGCUGACUGACCUCUGCACUGAGGCCUGGUCUCACCCUGCAGGGGUCCAAGUGCUGUGGGAGGCUCUCCAGCACCUGAAAUGCAGCUGGUCUGAAGUGAGCUGUGCUGGCAGCAUCAAUACACACUGGGUUUUGAAGACAGCAUGUGAAAAGAACAUAAAGUGCCUCAGUAGUGUUUGAUAGCCAUGGCAGGUUGAAAUGAUAUUUUGGACAUAGGUUAAAUAAAGCAUUAAAAUUGA